rnacentral:rRNA from 1 species
ACACCGGCAGCUCAAGUGGUAGCCGCUUUUAUUGGGCCUAAAGCGUCCGUAGCCGGUCUGAUAAGUCUCUGGUGAAAUCCCACAGCUUAACUGUGGGAAUUGCUGGAGAUACUAUCAUGACUCGAGGUCGGGAGAGGCUGGAGGUACUCCCAGGGUAGGGGUGAAAUCCUGUAAUCCUGGGAGGACCACCUGUGGCGAAGGCGUCCAGCUGGAACGAACCUGACGGUGAGGGACGAAAGCCAGGGGCGCGAACCGGAUUAGAUACCCGGGUAGUCCUGGCCGUAAACGAUGUGGACUUGGUGUUGGGGUGGCUUCGAGCUGCCCCAGUGCCGAAGGGAAGCUGUUAAGUCCACCGCCUGAGAAGUACGGCCGCAAGGCUGAAACUUAAAUGAAUUGGCGGGG